rnacentral:rRNA from 1 species
CUUAUAUUCUGUAGCAAGGUUAACCGUAUAGGGGAGCCGAAGGGAAACCGAGUCUUAACUGGGCGUUAAGUUGCAGGGUAUAGACCCGAAACCCGGUGAUCUAGCCAUGGGCAGGUUGAAGGUUGGGUAACACUAACUGGAGGACCGAACCGACUAAUGUUGAAAAAUUAGCGGAUGACUUGUGGCUGGGGGUGAAAGGCCAAUCAAACCGGGAGAUAGCUGGUUCUCCCCGAAAGCUAUUUAGGUAGCGCCUCGUGAACUCAUCUUCGGGGGUAGAGCACUGUUUCGGCUAGGGGGUCAUCCCGACUUACCAACCCGAUGCAAACUGCGAAUACCGAAGAAUGUUAUCACGGGAGACACACGGCGGGUGCUAACGUCCGUCGUGAAGAGGGAAACAACCCAGACCGCCAGCUAAGGUCCCAAAGUCACAGUUAAGUGGGAAACGAUGUGGGAAGGCUCAGACAGCCAGGAUGUUGGCUUAGAAGCAGCCAUCAUUUAAAGAAAGCGUAAUAGCUCACUGGUCGAGUCGGCCUGCGCGGAAGAUGUAACGGGGCUAAACUGUGCACCGAAGCUGCGGCAGCGACGCUUAUGCGUUGUUGGGUAGGGGAGCGUUCUGUAAGCCUGCGAAGGUGUCCUGUGAGGGAUGCUGGAGGUAUCAGAAGUGCGAAUGCUGACAUAAGUAACGAUAAUGCGGGUGAAAAGCCCGCUCGCCGGAAGACCAAGGGUUCCUGUCCAACGUUAAUCGGGGCAGGGUGAGUCGACCCCUAAGGCGAGGCCGAAAGGCGUAGUCGAUGGGAAACGGGUUAAUAUUCCCGUACUUGGUGUUACUGCGAAGGGGGGACGGAGAAGGCUAUGUUGGCCGGGCGACGGUUGUCCCGGUUUAAGCGUGUAGGCUGGUUUUCCAGGCAAAUCCGGAAAAUCAAGGCUGAGGCGUGAUGACGAGGCACUACGGUGCUGAAGCAACAAAUGCCCUGCUUCCAGGAAAAGCCUCUAAGCAUCAGGUAACAUCAAAUCGUACCCCAAACCGACACAGGUGGUCAGGUAGAGAAUACCAAGGCGCUUGAGAGAACUCGGGUGAAGGAACUAGGCAAAAUGGUGCCGUAACUUCGGGAGAAGGCACGCUGACACGUAGGUGAAGUGAUUUACUCAUGGAGCUGAAGUCAGUCGAAGAUACCAGCUGGCUGCAACUGUUUAUUAAAAACACAGCACUGUGCAAACACGAAAGUGGACGUAUACGGUGUGACGCCUGCCCGGUGCCGGAAGGUUAAUUGAUGGGGUCAGCGCAAGCGAAGCUCCUGAUCGAAGCCCCGGUAAACGGCGGCCGUAACUAUAACGGUCCUAAGGUAGCGAAAUUCCUUGUCGGGUAAGUUCCGACCUGCACGAAUGGCGUAAUGAUGGCCAGGCUGUCUCCACCCGAGACUCAGUGAAAUUGAACUCGCUGUGAAGAUGCAGUGUACCCGCGGCAAGACGGAAAGACCCCGUGAACCUUUACUAUAGCUUGACACUGAACAUUGAGCCUUGAUGUGUAGGAUAGGUGGGAGGCUUUGAAGUGUGGACGCCAGUCUGCAUGGAGCCGACCUUGAAAUACCACCCUUUAAUGUUU